CACACUGUGGGACCCCCAGUGUUGGCAAAGUUCGGGAAGGGGUUAAAUAAAUGCAGCUUCAGGGAUUGAUUUUGACACAGAUCAACCUGUGUGAGGGCAGGAAAGUAGGCCUUGCAAGGUCGGUUCCGUUCUUGGGCUCCUGGUGCUAUGACAUCACAGACAGACUGUCCCUGCCCAGUUCUGGGGUUGCUGAGCUGAGAGCACAACCAGCUCCAGCUGGCGCCAGCAGAAGAAACAUCUUCCCCCAAGAGGAAACACUGGUUAGCUGGCUCUGAGCAAAACAAACAAAAAUGGAUUCAGGGAACCAUCCUGACACCCCAAAUUCAACCAGGUGUGCUGGGAAGAAGACAUGCCGACUGCAGCCUACACAUGGCGCGACUCAAGUGCCUACACCCAGACCAGGCUGUCCAAACUGCUCAGGAGAGCAGGCCCAGACUGCCCCGGCCUGCUCAGGGGUGCCAGGCCAACGGACCUGCCAUGGCGGGGCCUCUUGCCAGAACCUCCAGCAGCAGCAGAAGUAAAUCCACAGCUGAGAAACAUCAACGUAACGAUUUCCUGCUGGCUCUGUGAACAUUAAAAAUAUCUUUACCUGCAUUGUUCAGUGUUUUAGAUUUAUUCACAUAUCCAUUCUCCUGUUUAGACAUCCAGCUGAAGGGAAUAAUUCAAAGCUGGUUUAUUUUGGUGUAGCUCCGUUUCUCCCAUUUCUGGUUUCAGUUUAGGGGGGGUGGUUUGUUUAUUUUCCCAUUAACCAGGCGUAAAAUAAACAAAAGUAGCACCAGCUCCA
rnacentral:lncRNA from 1 species